rfam:Archeaon Loki Lokiarch_contig000076, whole genome shotgun sequence.
GGGAGGGUGGUCUAGCAUGGUAUGAUACUAUAGAAUCUUUCUCUAUAGCAUGAAUCUUGGUUUGGGACCAAGGGGCCGAGGGUUCGAAUCCCUCCCCUCCCA